UAGCAUUGUACAGUGGCCUUUGGUUUUCUUGUAACCAGUUAGGUCUGAAAGCAAUGCAAAAGAAAUUUCCUUUUUCCACGAGAAACAUCCCUAUAGUGGGUUGUUCCUAUCGACAGGAGGUUACACAU
ensembl:snoRNA